rnacentral:rRNA from 1 species
CCGUAAACGAUGAAUACUAGGUGUAGGGGUUGUCAUGACCUCUGUGCCGCCGCUAACGCAUUAAGUAUUCCGCCUGGGGAGUACGGUCGCAAGAUUAAAACUCAAAGGAAUUGACGGGGGCCCGCACAAGCAGCGGAGCAUGUGGUUUAAUUCGAAGCAACGCGAAGAACCUUACCUAGACUUGACAUCUCCUGAAUUACUCUGUAAUGGAGGAAGCCACUUCGGUGGCAGGAAGACAGGUGGUGCAUGGUUGUCGUCAGCUCGUGUCGUGAGAUGUUGGGUUAAGUCCCGCAACGAGCGCAACCCUUAUUGUUAGUUGCUACCAUUUAGUUGAGCACUCUAGCGAGACUGCCCGGGUUAACCGGGAGGAA